rnacentral:rRNA from 15 species
GCUUACGGCCAUACCACCCGGAACGCGCCCGAUCUCGUCCGAUCUCGGAAGCUAAGCAGGGUCGGGCCUGGUUAGUACUUGGAUGGGAGACCGCCUGGGAAUACCAGGUGCUGUAAGCC